UAAACUCUUGAAGAAUAUGAAAACUCAGAACUCAUGUGUUUUCAACCGGAUUAAAUGAUGUGGCACAUUCAGCAUUCUAAUACUCUCAAUUUUCAACGUAUUCUUCUUUUUCUGUUGUAAACCCAAAAAGUGAAACCCUUCCUUCCUUCCAAUGGCGGGUGAUGUUCUUCCGUCGGAAAUAGUCACUGAAAUCUUCUCCCGCAUACCAGUAAAUCACUUCUCCGAUUCCGAUCAACUUCAAAAUCACUUAAAUCUAUAAUCGAUUCCCACAACUUCACCAACCUUCACCUCAAAAAUUCCCUCAAUCGUUCCUUAAUCAUUCGACGCAACUACGAUAUCUACCAAAUCGAUGAUGAUUUCUCUGAUCUAACCACCGCCGAGUUUCCACUCAACCAUCCUUUCUCCGGUAACAGCACCAAAAUUACUCUUAUCGGUUCAUGUAACGGCCUCCUCGCCAUUUCUAAUGGUUUAAUCGCUUUGACUCAACCUAAUGACGCCAACCAAAUCGCAAUCUGGAACCCUAACACCCGUAAACAUCACAUUAUCCCUUUUCUCCCUCUUCCUAUUACUCCUCAUCCUCCACCUGACAUGUACUGCUACUUAUAUCUUCACGGCUUCGGUUUUGAUCUAUUAACCGCCGAUUACAAACUCCUCCGAAUCUCUUGGUUAGUCACUCAACAUAACCCUUUUUAUGAUUCACAUGUCACACUCUUUAGCUUGAAAACAAACUCGUGGAAAACAAUUCCCAGUACGCCAUACGCUCUUCAAUAUGUUCAAGCCAUGGGGGUUUUUGUUCAGAAUUCUCUUCACUGGGUUAUGGCCAAGAAACUUGAUGGGUCAUAUCCUUGGUUAAUUGUCGCAUUUAACCUCACACUUGAAAUUUUCUACGAGGUUCCUCUUCCUGUUGAAUUAGAAGGUGAAGAGGUUAACAGUAAUAGUAAUGGGAGUUUUAAAUUUCGUCUUGCUGUUUUGGGUGGGUGUCUUUGUAUGUCUGUGAAUUAUGAAACCACUGAAAUUGAUGUUUGGGUGAUGAAAGAAUAUGGUUCUAGAGAUAGUUGGUGUAAACUUUUUACUUUCGUUAAAUCGUGUUUCACUCCACAUUUUAAAUCUUCGAGGCCUUUAGGUUAUUCUAGUGAUGGAAGUAAGGUUCUGUUGGAAGGAAUUGAAGUUUUGUCGGAGGUAUGUCAUAGGAAGCUGUUUUGGUAUGAUUUGAAGAGUGAACAAGUCAGUUAUGUUGAAGGAAUUCCUAAUUGGAAUGCAGCUAUGUUUUGUGUUGGAAGUCUUGUACCACCUUUCUUCCCUGUUGAUAAUUGUAGGAAGGAGGAGAAUUGUACAAGCAAGAGAAGGGAUGGCUUCUUGUCCUAAAGAUUUAAAUUGAGAUUGUAAGGGGUUAAAGGACCUGUGAUGUGCAGCUGAAACAGGAUGCUCAAGUUGUUUCUUGUGAUGGAAUUAGUCACCUUGGUUUGUGGAAAAGGUUGAAUUUACAAUGAAUGGAGCUGCACCCAUUUUUCUCCCUCUGGCCUUUCUAAAGGAUCUUCUGCUUUUGUCUUUUACUUCUAGACUCUAGUACUGUUGAAAAAAUAUGGAAGCACAAUGAGGUUGGUUAGUGUAUGAAAAGAAUCUUUUAUUUCCAUUAUUAUUUUUAAAUUCCAAUCUCUUACAACAUGCUUAAGAAAGCACAAAGUGGUUGGAUAUUGUACGAAGAGUAUUGCUCAUUUCGUGCGCGUUUGUUUGUGUGUGACAUUGUGUCCCCUCUUCACUGUGUGUGUAAGUCUUUGUUCGUUACUGCAUGUGUUUUCCAUCACGUUGUCGCCGUCUCUGUUUCUCCUCAAAUUAGGCUCUUUUUUUGUUGCAAAUUGAAUUGAUUUUCCAUGCAAAUUGAAUUGAUUUGUGUUCGUUGGCUACUUUAUUAUUACAUGAAAAGUAUUGAGUA